CCGCCCGUGUCACCGGGCGAGUCUAGGAGUCUGAAUAAAGAGCGACUCUGACAAUGUAACGAAGCAUCGCAAGAUGCGGGGUAUCAAUCGCGAGAGGCGUACCCUUCUGGCAGCCACACGCCGGAUGAGUGC
rfam:Burkholderia sp. OLGA172 chromosome 1, complete sequence.